rnacentral:rRNA from 1 species
CAGCCGCCGCGGUAAUACGUAGGGUGCGAGCGUUAAUCGGAUUUACUGGGCGUAAAGCGUGCGCAGGCGGCCCGUUAAGACAGGUGUGAAAUCCCUGGGCUCAACCUAGGAAUUGCGCUUGUGACUGGCGGGCUCGAGUACGGUAGAAGGGGGUGGAAUUCCUGGUGUAGCAGUGAAAUGCGUAGAGAUCAGGAGGAACACCGAUGGCGAAGGCAGCCCCCUGGGCCUGUACUGACGCUCAUGCACGAAAGCGUGGGGAGCAAACAGGAUUAGAUACCCUGGUAGUCCACGCCCUAAACGAUGGGUACUAGCCGUUUGGUGCGCGAUAGCGCUGAGUGGCGAAGCUAACGCGUGAAGUACCCCGCCUGGGGAGUACGGCCGCAAGGCUGAAACUUAAAGGAAUUGGCGGG